rnacentral:rRNA from 1 species
CCUACGGGGGGCUGCAGUGGGGAAUAUUGGACAAUGGGCGCAAGCCUGAUCCAGCCAUGCCGCGUGAGUGAUGAAGGCCUUCGGGUUGUAAAGCUCUUUUGUCCGGGAAGAUAAUGACUGUACCGGAAGAAUAAGCCCCGGCAAACUUCGUGCCAGCAGCCGCGGUAAUACGAAGGGGGCUAGCGUUGUUCGGAUUUACUGGGCGUAAAGCGCACGUAGGCGGCUUGUUAAGUCAGAGGUGAAAGCCUGGAGCUCAACUCCAGAACUGCCUUUGAUACUGGCAAGCUCGAGUAUGGAAGAGGUUGGUGGAACUCCGAGUGUAGAGGUGAAAUUCGUAGAUAUUCGGAAGAACACCAGUGGCGAAGGCGGCCAACUGGUCCAUUACUGACGCUGAGGUGCGAAAGCGUGGGGAGCAAACAGGAUUAGAUACCCGAGUAGUC